ACGGUCUUGCUGUCACUUAUAGAUGGAUCCGCGCUGCAUUAGCUAGUUGGUAAGGUAACGGCUUACCAAGGCAACGAUGCAUAGCCGACCUGAGAGGGUGAUCGGCCACACUGGAACUGAGACACGGUCCAGACUCCUACGGGAGGCAGCAGUAGGGAAUCUUCCGCAAUGGGCGAAAGCCUGACGGAGCAACGCCGCGUGAGUGAUGAAGGUCUUCGGAUCGUAAAACUCUGUUAUUAGGGAAGAACAUAUGUGUAAGUAACUGUGCACAUCUUGACGGUACCUAAUCAGAAAGCCACGGCUAACUACGUGCCAGCAGCCGCGGUAAUACGUAGGUGGCAAGCGUUAUCCGGAAUUAUUGGGCGUAAAGCGCGCGUAGGCGGUUUUUUAAGUCUGAUGUGAAAGCCCACGGCUCAACCGUGGAGGGUCAUUGGAAACUGGAAAACUUGAGUGCAGAAGAGGAAAGUGGAAUUCCAUGUGUAGCGGUGAA
rnacentral:rRNA from 1 species